CUGAUUUAAGAUAAUUUAGCGAUUAUUAACUUACUGAUCACUAAUAAUAAUUGUAUAGUUAUUAAAAGCUACCUAGAGGUCCGGAGACUCUAGGAUUAUAACAACUCUGGUGGUGCCCUGAAAUGAGGAAUAAUUUUUGAUUUUAUGAAUAUUAAAAUUCAUAAUUUGGUAUUAAUUCUCAUAAAUUUAUUAAAAUUCAUAACUAAUUUAAGCAUGCUACAACGGUAAGGUCUAGACCUGCUCUAUAUGAAAAGUGCAAUAAGAUAACUUCUAUUGUGAAUUGCCACUAUAUGAAUAUAAUUGAACUGAAUUCUAAAACUUGUAACCAGCAAGAGAGGCUAAAACAGUGUUAUGUUCUUGUCUGCUUGUAUUUGUUAAAAGCCGAACAGCUGCAUUUUGUACCAGCUGAAGGUGUGAGACUGUUUUUUUGGCUUAGCCAAUGAAAUACAAUAAUCAAACCGAGAUGAUAUAAAAGCCUGUAUGAAUUCAGGCCAAGAGAGAAAAGACACCGAGGUUUCUGGCUGCAGGUUUGACAUUUGUGGACAGGGAGCCAAGAUGAUUGGACUGUUACUGGUAGCAAUAUGAAUAUGAACAGGUGAUACAUGAUGAUGUCACAAUUGGGAUGUAAUGGAUUGCCAUAAAAUUUUAUAAAGAUAUUCUUGGUCCCCAGAGUGUGAAGCCUAGUGCCUUUGGUGAUGCUCUUAUACCAUCAUCAGCUCAAAAUUUGUCCAGGUUGGUUUAUGACCAAAUACCUGAAAUACCAUUGACAUUCCUGUGGGCCUCAGCUGUCCUUUGUGUUUUGUUCUGUUACGUCCCAGUAUGCAAGGGGUAUCGGGACAUAGACAUAAACCAGAUGGUCUUAGUAGUUUGAAAGGAUAUUUAUUGUAAUAGAGUAAAAACAGAACUCAGAAAAUGGGCCAAUGGGUGCUGUGGAAAUCAACAAAGAAUAUUACCAAAAGAGAUACUCAAAAGGAGGAUUACUAUUCUAACUACUCAGAAAAAUUAAAGGGUACAACAAAACAUCUCUUACUAAAAGACUGUGAGAACCAAAACACAAAGCGCACAGCACCCCUGAGAGGCGGAUGCCUCUGACGUGGGGGUUGGAGCAGUCCUCUCACAAUGCUCAGAACUAGACCAAAAGUUACACCCCUGUGCCUUUUUUCUCUUGCCGACUUUCCCCUGCCAAACUGAGCUACGAUGUCGGUAACCGAGAGCUCUUGGCAGUCAAGCUGGCCCUUGAGGCUUGGAGGCACUGGUUAGAGGGGAGAUUCCUCUUAUUGUCUGGACAGAUCACCAAAACCUCACCUAUAUUCAGUCUGCAAAACGUCUUAACUUCCGCCAGGCUCGAUGGUCUCUGUUUUUUGGUCGUUUUUCUUUUGUACUCACCUACAGACCUGGUUCCAAAAAUGGGAAAGCUGAUGCCCUGUCCAGACAGUUUGCCCCCACUGAGGAGUCCCCAGUGACUGAAUCAAUCAUUCCCUCCUCCUGCGUGGUAGCCAUGGUCACCUGGGAAAUCGAGUCUGUGGUCACAAAGCCUUUUGUCUGGCCCUAGGGGCCACAGUCUCUCUCUCCUCUGGUUUCCACCCCCAGACUAAUGGACAGGCGGAGAGAGCCAAUCAGGACCUGGAAUCGGCUUUGCGCAGAGUGAUUUCCUUCAGUUCAGCACCAUCUGCAACGCUGUCGCAGAGUGUGGAGGGACACUCGGGCUGCACUGCUACGCUCCACGGAAGGCAACCGUCGCGUAGCUGACCGACGUCAGACCCCUGCUCCUCCCUACAUACCAGGGGACCUCUGUUUGUGGAAAAUCUGCUCGUCCGCUUGUCUCUGAGUUUUUGGAUUCCGCUGCCCGCCUGCCUGCCUGCCACUCUCUCUCACUACCCACCAAGGACCUCUACCCUCAUUCUUGUUAAAUAAACAAACUGUUUUUUUUCCCUAA